UACAGAGGUGGCAAGCGUUGUCCGGAGUUACUGGGCGUAAAGCGCGCGUAGGCGGCUAGAUAAGUCCGGUGUGAAAUCCCACGGCUUAACCGGGGAACGGCAUCGGGGACUGUUUAGCUUGAGGACGGGAGAGGAGAGCGGAAUUCCCGGUGUAGCGGUGAAAUGCGUAGAGAUCGGGAAGAACACCAGUGGCGAAGGCGGUCUGCUGGGCCGUUGCUGACGCUGAUGCGCGACAGCGUGGGGAGCAAACAGG
rnacentral:rRNA from 1 species